rnacentral:rRNA from 1 species
UACAGAGGUCCCAAGCGUUGUUCGGAUUCACUGGGCGUAAAGGGUGCGUAGGCGGUCGGGUAAGUCUGAUGUGAAAUCUCAGAGCUCAACUCUGAAACUGCAUUGGAUACUAUUCGGCUUGAGGUCUGGAGGGGGGACUGGAAUUCUUGGUGUAGCAGUGAAAUGCGUAGAUAUCGGAAGGAACAUCAGUGGCGAAAGCGGCUUCCUGGACCAGCACCGACGUCAGGCACGAAAGCGUGGGGAGCAAACAGGA